GAUGAACGCUGGCGGCGUGCCUAAUACAUGCAAGUCGAGCGAACAGACGAGGAGCUUGCUCCUCUGACGUUAGCGGCGGACGGGUGAGUAACACGUGGAUAACCUACCUAUAAGACUGGGAUAACUUCGGGAAACCGGAGCUAAUACCGGAUAAUAUAUUGAACCGCAUGGUUCAAUAGUGAAAGACGGUUUUGCUGUCACUUAUAGAUGGAUCCGCGCCGCAUUAGCUAGUUGGUAAGGUAACGGCUUACCAAGGCAACGAUGCGUGGCCGACCUGAGAGGGUGAUCGGCCACACUGGAACUGAGACACGGUCCAGACUCCUACGGGAGGCAGCAGUAGGGAAUCUUCCGCAAUGGGCGAAAGCCUGACGGAGCAACGCCGCGUGAGUGAUGAAGGUCUUCGGAUCGUAAAACUCUGUUAUUAGGGAAGAACAAACGUGUAAGUAACUAUGCACGUCUUGACGGUACCUAAUCAGAAAGCCACGGCUAACUACGUG
rnacentral:rRNA from 1 species